AAGGUUUAUUUCUUUGGAGAUUCUCACUGAGUUCAAUAUUGGAAAUUGCAGCCAAAUACUAUCAGAAAAGGAGGCAAAGUCUCCAAAUCUAUUAAUUUAUCCUCCUCCAUACAUUCAUUAGCUCUUAUAUUAUGGAAACACUCUAUUCCGAUAAGGAGGAGUAUCUCAAGUUAAAAGUAUGCAGAUAUUUGUCUCUACUCCAAUUCUUAAUCAAGCCCUUAAAAUGUCUUCCACAGAACAUCAUCGUACAGAAUUGGAGAUAAAAGAAGUGCAUAUUCUUUCAUUCUCAGAUAUGA
rnacentral:lncRNA from 1 species